AAAUAUUUCAGUUUUCUUUCACAAUACUAUUAUGCUAUAAUUAAAAUUAUUUUUUCUUUAAUAAAUACUAAAACAAAUCCUUAUAUAAUUAUUUUUAAUAAAUUAAAUUAUAAAAACAUAAAAAUAAUAAAUAAAAUACAAUCAAUUUAUAUUGAUUUGCACAAAAUUCUUUUCAAUGUAAAUGAAAUACUUUACUUAAUAAGCUUUAAAUUGCAUUCUAGAUACACUUUCCAGUACAUCUACUAUGUUACGACUUAUCUUACUUUAAUAAUAAGAGUGACGGGCGAUGUGUACAUAUUUUAGAGCUAAAAUCAAAUUAUUAAUCUUUAUAAUUUUACUAUCAAAUCCACUUUCAAUAAAUAUUUCAAAUUUAAAUUCAUAUAAAUAAAUUUAUUGUAACCCAUUUUUACUUAAAUAUAAGCUACACCUUGAUCUGAUAUACUUUCUUUUAUAAAAUUAUGAAAAUUAACAUUCUUAUAAAAUAUUCUAAUAACGACGGUAUAUAAACUGAUUACAAAUUUAAGUAAGGUCCAUCGUGGAUUAUCGAUUAUAAAACAGGUUCCUCUGAACAGACUAAAAUACCGCCAAAUUUUUUAAGUUUCAAGAACAUAA
rnacentral:rRNA from 1 species